rnacentral:lncRNA from 1 species
CUUUUCUCCUGUGGCCCUCGUGAAGGUGUGAAAUCUUGUGUCAUGAGAUAUGUGCCCAUGUUGGCAAAUUAGCCUUUAUCUAGUCUCCAUAUUCUCACUCACCCCAGGUCCAUCACUUUUGGGAUUUACUCCCAGGCAAAAAUCUCCUAGUUCCUGCUAGUAGUACAUUUAAGCCGAGUCCUUUUCUGUAUAACCUUUCCCUUUCCUUAGCAGAACCAUCACUUCCACAAUUAGUGUAGAACAACAUUUUACCCUGUCUGAUGGUGGAGGUAGAGGCAGAUCCGAGCAGGGAUUAUAUUCUAUCAGGGAAAAGGGGACCCCUUCUGCCGCUCCUGAUGGUGCAAGUGAAGCAGGUGGUUCAAGGCUCUCAUUUGCACCUACCCAGAGGUCUACCUCCCAGGACUCAGAGUCUCCUCCUUUCCUAUUAAGACCUUGGUUUUGGCAUGAAAUCAUUGCCCAGUCUGUGAGACCUUUGAGGUUCUGUCACUCUUAACAAUUAACUCCUGGGCCUGGUCUUCAGCUGCUGAAGACGAGUGUCUCUUUAGAUGCUGCCAAGGAAGAGCUUUGACUUCCACACUUGGUUGGAAGUUGGUGAUGUGUCUGAGCCUGUCACUUUCUCUGUUCAGUGUAUCAGAGGACCUUAUCAAGAUCCACUCACUCCCAGAGUCCUAAGAAUUUCUGUUCACCC